UUUAUCAGCCCCACGUGAGGGCGAGCAGUGCACAGUGAUGCAGUUGGUUGCUCCUCGUAGUGCUUCACACACCCUGCAUGAGCUACUAAAGCAAAUACAGUAGUACCACGCCGAUUAGAAACUCCAACUGCAACUCAAUAACAAGAUCCACUCACAGUCACAAUGUCGGUGCGAGUGAUGGCGUUCGUUCUAUUUAUGUUUCUUGGUGUUUUUCUAAUUCUCGGAUCCAAUUCAAAUGCCUACAGCUUGACUGGCCAUGGCCCAGGAUCAUCGCUUGUAUCGAAAUCUCUACGGACAGCCCGGCAUUUCAUGAUGGCACCGCAACAAACGGCACUCCUCUUGCCGGCUCGUUUUAGCGAUUUUCGGCGUCGGAGACGAACGAGUCUCAGCCACGUUGUCCGCAACAAACAGGACUGCUUGUGUCACCUGCUGGUGCGCUAUGAGCGCAACAACUGCUGCAGGUUGCGGGAGCGGUGCUGCUGAAGCGGCCGUACUGCGUGACCUGCGCGCCCCGCACCACCCCUCACACCCGCGUCUCAUCAGGCACUGACGGGACCACGCGCUUCUCGUCGCACAAGAGUUCUUUUUCGGUUAUUUUCAAUCGGAUCUUGUGUUAUUUUGUUUUCUUAACAUAAAUUUUGCCAAGAAUUGAUGUUCAUUGGUUUACGCUUGACGACCGGCCGCAAGUUAUUGUAUCAUAUUUCAAGAUGAUGCUCAUUAAAAUGUGUCAAAAGUGUUCGAGCUUAUUUCUGAGUCUCGAUCCGUGAGAUCCAUCUCGAUAUCCGCCAUGACACCGAAUCAUGAGAUCUCUUCAUGUGAUCGAUAUCUAGAUUCAAGAUUCGUCGAAGGAGAAGCAAUACGAGAAUUACCAGCUGCAAAGCCGACCUGAAGAGCAACUUUCUGUGUGCACCUGACGAUUAUUUUCAACUUUAAAUGGUUAUUCGUAUUUUUUUAGAAAGUUUUUCUGCCUCGAAGUUGGGAUUCAAAAAAUACUAAUAAUUUUCUUAUACAGAAUUUAAAAUUACGUGGAACCCAAGACCAUGAAUUUGGCAAUCUGCGACCAUGUCAAUAAAUGAAGGCAAAUUUUGACGUGUUUUGAAGUUUUGAUUGUGACGCUUUGAAUAUUUGGCGCCGCACUCUUGCUUCGCUGUCACAUCGAACGAUCCGAUCGACAUCGAAAUGCGACGACUUCCGUUGGCGGUGCUCCUGAUGAUAUCGCAGCUAGGCCAAAAUGAGACACCUGAAAAUAGGAAACAUGUUUCUAUGAGACAUAUAAUUGAUCUGAUAUUUCCCUAUUCACACUUAAUUUGACGAAAUGUAUUGGGAACAUGAGAUUAUCAAAUUUAGAGUUGUAAGUUGCAUAACAUGCUAUACAUAGGUUGGCAAUUUGAAUCAACUAAUUUCCCAAUAUUGCAACCAAUGCCUCGGUUGAAAUUUGAUGUCUCAAACAGGAAUCAAUUAAAGUCCCACGUAUUGCCGCGUGACCAAAGCUUAAAAUUAUUUUGCUCCUGCCCUAUAUUAGCUUCUAGCGACUAGCGUGCAAAAAAAACUGUUGUAAAUACUUAGAAGAAAAGUAAUCAGAAUCACAUUAAGGAUGUGCAUUUAACGCUCCAUCGGUCAUGUACAAAGUGAAUCAAACCCCAGUGCAGUUUUGGAUGAAUUUAUUAUGGCGCGGUCGUACGCUUGUUCACCGAGGUUCAUGAGCGGUCGAUGUAGGUCAAGGCUCUCAAAUGCUAGUUGUAGCGCCGCAGGGCUGUCUUGUUAAUAAAAUUUAGAGCAUG